CGUGUAGGCGGUGGCGCAAGUCGGGUGUGAAAGCCCCUGGCUUAACCAGGGAGGGUCAUCCGAAACUGCGUCGCUUGAGGGCAGCAGAGGAAAGUAGAAUUCCCGGUGUAGUGGUGAAAUGCGUAGAUAUCGGGAGGAAUACCGGUGGCGAAGGCGGCUUUCUGGGCUGCACCUGACGCUGAGGCGCGAAAGCGUGGGGGAGCGAACUGAAUUAGAUACUCAGGUAGUCCACGCUGUAAACGAUGGACACUAGGUGUGGGGGGUAUCGACCCCCUCCGUGCCGAAGCUAACGCAUUAAGUGUCCCGCCUGGGGACUACGGCCGCAAGGCUAAA
rnacentral:rRNA from 1 species